CAUGCAAGUCGAACGCGUUGGCCCAAUUGAUUGACGGUGCUUGCACCUGAUUGAUUUUGGUCGCCAACGAGUGGCGGACGGGUGAGUAACACGUAGGUAACCUGCCCAGAAGCGGGGGACAACAUUUGGAAACAGAUGCUAAUACCGCAUAACAACGUUGUUCGCAUGAACAACGCUUAAAAGAUGGCUUCUCGCUAUCACUUCUGGAUGGACCUGCGGUGCAUUAGCUUGUUGGUGGGGUAAUGGCCUACCAAGGCGAUGAUGCAUAGCCGAGUUGAGAGACUGAUCGGCCACAAUGGGACUGAGACACGGCCCAUACUCCUACGGGAGGCAGCAGUAGGGAAUCUUCCACAAUGGGCGCAAGCCUGAUGGAGCAACACCGCGUGAGUGAAGAAGGGUUUCGGCUCGUAAAGCUCUGUUGUUAAAGAAGAACACGUAUGAGAGUAACUGUUCAUACGUUGACGGUAUUUAACCAGAAAGUCACGGCUAACUACGUGCCAGCAGCCGCGGUAAUACGUAGGUGGCAAGCGUUAUCCGGAUUUAUUGGGCGUAAAGAGAGUGCAGGCGGUUUUCUAAGUCUGAUGUGAAAGCCUUCGGCUUAACCGGAGAAGUGCAUCGGAAACUGGAUAACUUGAGUGCAGAAGAGGGUAGUGGAACUCCAUGUGUAGCGGUGGAAUGCGUAGAUAUAUGGAAGAACACCAGUGGCGAAGGCGGCUACCUGGUCU
rnacentral:rRNA from 1 species